GGUCCUUAGCCUCCUAUCCAUACCUCCUCGUGGUACUGGCCGGGGUACGAGUAACCUUAGGGAAGAUCGGGUAACCAACCCCGGUGGAAGCUUUGGUCGUAUGCUGACAGGGAAGG
rnacentral:ribozyme from 1 species